rnacentral:lncRNA from 1 species
AUGUGCACACCUUGUAAAGAGAGAGAGAGAGUGAGAGAGGAAGAGAGAGAGAGAGAGUACACGUCUCUAAAUCUCUUUGUGUAAUUAAGGUGGUGUUUGUUUUUUGGCCAGAAGUACUUCUGGCCAUUUAUGUCUGCGCCGCGCAGACGCGCGCAGAGGUUUGGAGUCCGCAGCUUGUUUGUUUUUUAGAAGUGGUUUCAUUAAAAAAGCUCUGCCCCAACUCUUUCUGGUGCAGACCUUGCCCUAUGUCUGCAAGUCUCUUCCAUCCUCUUCUCAAAAAACACAGAGCCCCAAUCCUCUAAUCAUCACAGCCGCAACCUCCUUCCCCACCACUUCCACCUUCGGCGGCACCACCUCCCCCACCUGCUGCACCUCCACGUCGACUUCCACCACCACCUCCACCACUCCCAACCUCAGCGGCACCCCCACCAUCUGCGACCUCCAACCUCAGCGGCACCCCAACCCGCUACGACCUCCACCACCACGUCUCCGCCACCCAUCUCCUCCACCGACACCCCCAAUCACCUCCACCUUCAAAAUCGCCGCCGUCAAUCGCUGAUUCUGCUCCGAUUCUUCAUAAUCGCCACUGUUUCUCUCUCUCUCUCUCUCGCUGUUUCUCUCUCUCUCUCUCUCUCUCGCUGAAGUGGUGGUGGAGGUGGGAGAUGGUGGUGGCGAAAUUAGGGUUUCUGGAUGUGUGGUGGUGGUGGUGGUUGCGACGGUGUUGACGGUGGUUGUUGGUUGUGGUGGUGGCAGGUGGACGGUGGUAGAUGAGGUGGUGGCGGAUGGUUGUGGUGGUGGUGGUGGUAGAUGAAGGCAGAGAGAGAUAGAGAGGAGUGUUCUCUGUGUUUGUUGUGAGAGGAGUAGAGAAGAGGUUUUUGUAGAAGUAAGCAAACGCUCUUCUCCUUGCAGACUGCAGACCUUUGGUCCACCUCUUCUUCUGCAGAUGCCUGCAGAUGUGGUCCGCAGACUGCAGACCUUUUCCAGCAGAAAAACAAACAGCACCUUAGGUGCACCUUAGGUGCUGUUUGUAGAAAAAAUGGCUCUAAUUUUUGCAUAUGGCCUUCUUGGCAAUGUUGUAUCAUACAUGGUGUUUCUUUCCCCACUGUAAGUCUCUUUUUUUCACUAUAAAAUAAAUUUCAUAUGUAUUUUCUUGAGAUAAAAAGUCAAUUUUGGCUAAUAAUUUUGUUACUUAAAAUCGCACCAACAUUUUAUGUUGUUUACAAAAGAAAUCAACACUAUGUGUUCUUAAUUUGGUAAGCUGUAGGAUUAUUUAGCGACGUGCUUUGGAUACAUUACGCAUUACUUAAGGCAAAUGUGUAUUUACCUUGAACAAAGCGUAAUGUAUCCAAAGCAUGUCACUACAUAAUCCCACAAUAUAUGACACCUAUCAAAAUUCCCUGUUGAUUUCUUUUUUUAAACUUUAUAUAACAUGGGUGUAGAAUUUAAAUAACAAAAUUAUCUACCAAACAUGAAUAAGAUAAUACAAAUGAAAUAUUUUAUAGUAAAUAAAUUAAAGAGACUUAAAAUGAGAGAACUUGAUAAUGUAUGAUGAUAGAGGUAUUGAAAAGAUGUGCAUAUGUAGAGACGACGGACUAUUUCAGCCGCUGUGAUUUCAUUUUCAACCAUUGUAUUGGUCAACAUUUUUUAAUUAGUCUUUUGCAUAUUUUAGCCGGCAGCCACUAGAUAAUAAUUGGAUUAGAUUAGCAAGUAUUCAUGAGUCUUAAAUGGACACCUGUGUAUUAUUGUAAUUUUGUAUUGAUUAUAAUUAAUGUCAAGUUGUCAACGUUAAUUAUU